UGCGAAGGGGGCUAGCGUUGCUCGGAAUCACUGGGCGUAAAGCGCACGUAGGCGGAUCUUUAAGUCAGGGGUGAAAUCCCAAGGCUCAACCUUGGAACUGCCUUUGAUACUGGGGAUCUCGAGUCCGGAAGAGGUUGGUGGAACUGCGAGUGUAGAGGUGAAAUUCGUAGAUAUUCGCAAGAACACCAGUGGCGAAGGCGGCCAACUGGUCCGGUACUGACGCUGAGGUGCGAAAGCGUGGGGAGCAAACAGG
rnacentral:rRNA from 1 species